rnacentral:rRNA from 1 species
GACGAACCGUGCAAACAUUGUUCGGAAUCACUGGGCUUAAAGGGCGCGUAGGCGGCAGACCAAGUCCGGGGUGAAAUCUUUCGGCUUAACCGGAAAAGGGCCUUGGAUACUGGUUUGCUAGAGGGAGGUAGGGGUCUGUGGAACUUCUGGUGGAGCGGUGAAAUGCGUUGAUAUCAGAAGGAACGCCGGUGGCGAAAGCGACGGACUGGAUCUCUUCUGACGCUGAUGCGCGAAAGCCAGGGGAGCAAACGGG